UACGAAGGGGGCUAGCGUUGCUUGGAAUUACUGGGCGUAAAGGGCGCGUAGGCGGCACUGUUAGUCAGGCGUGAAAGUCCUGGGCUCAACCUGGGAACUGCGCUUGAUACGGCAGAGCUAGAGGAUGGAAGAGGGUCGCGGAAUUCCCAGUGUAGAGGUGAAAUUCGUAGAUAUUGGGAAGAACACCGGUGGCGAAGGCGGCGACCUGGUCCAUUACUGACGCUGAGGCGCGACAGCGUGGGGAGCAAACAGG
rnacentral:rRNA from 1 species